UACGUAGGGUCCGAGCGUUGUCCGGAAUUAUUGGGCGUAAAGGGCGCGUAGGCGGCUUUGCAAGUGACGGGUGAAAUCCCACGGCUUAACCGUGGAACUGCCUGUCAGACUGCAUGGCUUGAGACCAGGAGAGGUGAGUGGAAUUCCCGGUGUAGCGGUGGAAUGCGUAGAGAUCGGGAAGAACAUCAGUGGCGAAGGCGGCCUGCUGGGCUGUUGCUGACGCGUGAGGCGC
rnacentral:rRNA from 1 species